AAUAGAUGACACCGUUGACUUUUUCUCACAUGUUUGACCAUUCGUCUUAUUCAAAAUAUUUACGUAAUUAUAAUUUAUUUUAUUAUGAGUUGUUUUAUCACUCAUAAUAUUUUAAGUGUGAUUUAUAUCUUAUACAUUUGCAUAAAAUUUUUAAAUAAAACGAAUGGUCAAAUAUGUGAGAAAAAGUCAACGGUGUUAUCUAUU
rnacentral:pre_miRNA from 1 species